UAUCUCUGUAGAGUCUGCAUAUCAAUAAGCGGAGGAAAAGAAACUAACUAGGAUUCCCUCAGUAACGGCGAGUGAAGCGGGAAGAGCUCAAAUUUGAAAUCUUCAAGGUUCUACCUUGACGAAUUGUAGUUUAAAGAAGUGUUUUCUGUUGGAGUUUUGGUAAAAGUUCUUUGGAAUAGGACAUCAUAGAGGGUGAGAAUCCCGUAUUUGACCAUUAUUUCCAGCUUUGUGAUACACUUUCAAAGAGUCGGAUUGUUUGGGAAUGCAGUCCAAAAUGGGUGGUAAAUUUCAUCUAAAGCUAAAUAUUGGCGAGAGACCGAUAGCGAACAAGUACCGUGAGGGAAAGAUGAAAAGAACUUUGAAAAGAGAGUUAAACAGUACGUGAAAUUGUCAAAAGGGAAGCGUUUGACACCAGUGUUGUUUUCUCGAAAAUCAAUUAAAAAAGGCAGGAUUUUGUGUUGUAUUGACUUUAUCAGCUUUCUGCACUCUUUUCUUGUCUUUUUUUAAUGCACUUUUCGUUUAACAAGUCAACAUCAAUUUCUUUUGUUGUAAAAGGGUCAUUGGAAGGUGGCUUUCUUUUCGGAGAAAGUGUUUAUAGCCUUUGGCCUCUGCAAUCGGAGAGAUUGAGGUCUGCAGCGUAGAUCCUUCGGGGUUAGAUACAUUUGUGCUAAGUUAUAGCCUUUUCAUAGACAACUUGUUGACUAUGAAUCAGUCAUGUAGCUUACUCGCUUAUGCUAUUUUACCUACGCUUAGGAUGUUGAUAGUCACAGCGUGUAC
rnacentral:rRNA from 1 species